CUUUAACACAGUGCUGGUAGCCCGGCCCCGUUAAUUACUCUUGGGCUCGAGAUGCUCCAUGGCUCCUGGGUCCCUUAGCAGUGGGCUGCAGAGCUCCCCUGGGCUGCCCGACCUCUGCUGGGGCUGCCCUCUGUUUGUUUUCUUAAUGCUAUCUUUUUCUUUAUCUGCAGAGCUGGCCUUUUCCAUAUGUUGCUUGCUGAAGGCAGCAGCAUGACAGAUUUCUUCUUUCCCCUCAAAAGUCAAGGCUCAAAUAGUUGAGUGGCCCUUUCGGUUGUGUACGUGGUCAUCCAGACCAUGUUGCGUGGGAAUAAACAUGACAUUACUGCUACAGCACUGCUGAGCCCACGCAGCUGGAUAGAAAGAAAGGGGGAGCUCAGCACAGACACUCUGCUAAGGAGGAAUUUGGGUGCUUGCAGCUGCUCCCUGUUCUCCCCCAUUUUUCUCCUCCCAGCUAGCUGUGUCUGUGCACAAGGGCAUCUCCUGGGAGCAGGACCUGGAGGCAGCCUCCAUUUGAAGGCUGUAGAGGGAACUACAAGGCGGAACAUGGUUACUUGAGCUUUGUUUCCUUUUGGAAACCAGGCUAAAAAGCACACCGUCAGCUGACAGCUCCAUCACCAGCAGCCAGCAUCAGGAACGGGGCACCCCUGAUACAUGCAUACAGUACACACCACAUUAAAGCUGGAGAAUUGCUGAUCUUCCACAAGCUGUUAACGACUAUGUUGGCUCAGGUGGCUGCUGAUGUCCCCUAGGGAAGCCCAGGUGGUGCUCACUGUGGUGCCAGCCCCAUUCUGGCAGCCCUAUAGGAGCUCUACUUCCUCAGCCCCUUCUGUACCUCCUUAGUUUGUCCCAUUCUCUUUUUCACCAUACAGUGCCCUAAGGCUGCCUUGUGUGCUUCAAGGUGUGAUCGUGUUGCUGAUUGUGGCCAUUUAUGGCUUCUCCAUGACAAAGAGGGUGUGAAGUACCAAAAAAAAAAAAAAAAGGGAAAGUAAAGAAGUCAGUUGAGCCCAAGUGAUGGCAAGGCUGCAUGGAGAAGCCAGGAGUGGACCACAGUGCCCGUGUCUCAAUGUGCAGUGCUCUGAGUGAAGCUGCAAGAGCUCUGAAGACAUCCAAAGUCUGACAAAUCGCUAUGGGUGUCCCUGUGCCUCUGAACUGAUUUCAAAGAAUGAUCUCUUUUUCUUUUUUUCCUCUUCCAAAAAGAAAGCAAACAAUUUUGAGCAUCAAAUGAGUACCGUUGCCCUGCCCAGCAUGUUGUUGCCUUCUGCUUGCCGCCUACAUGCGUUGCUUUUAUUUCGUGGCUUUCUUGAGGGGGAAAAAAUAAAUGCUGUGUUGGAACGGGGAUGUGAGCUGCAGCCUGGGCUGCUGCCGCCCUCUCCUGGCUCCGAUGGUGCCAAGAAGCAGAGAUUUUCCAAAAGAGAAUCCUGCAAGCCUGGGUCCAUUUCCCAAAAGAGAUUCUUGCAAGCUGGUGCCCAGCUGGCCUUGCCCAUGAGCACAGCGUGGCCUCAUCCCCACCGCUGCCUCCUUCCUCCCCACCCUGGUGCCUCCUUUUGUGUAUUUUCAGUACCCUUUUUCAGACUUCUCCUGAGCUUUCCCAUGUAGGGAGAAAAAUGUCAUAUCCCAGGGAUCCUCCUCGUGUUGGCCUCUCCAAAAUGUGCCCGCUCAGGGACUGCAGGAUGACGGAGCAUCCCAUGC
ensembl:lncRNA